rnacentral:misc_RNA from 1 species
UUAAGCUAUUUUUUAAAUUUUGUUUUCAGACAACUCAAUCAAAAUGGUUUAUAAAAUACUGCUGGCAGGCCGGGAAGGUAAAAAAAAUAUAUGAAAAUCCUCUUCACCCCGCCAAAAACACCCACCAAGCAACAAACAGUUUACAAGUUCACAGGAUUUGGAUUAUUGGGUAGACAAAAACCCGGUCGCGCUUGCGCACGUCCAGACAUCAUACCCAUAAAUUCAUUAAUGAUCCUUCCGCAGGUUCACCUACGGAAA